rnacentral:rRNA from 1 species
UACGUAGGGUGCAAGCGUUGUCCGGAAUUAUUGGGCGUAAAGAGCUCGUAGGCGGUUUGUCGCGUCUGCUGUGAAAACCCGAGGCUCAACCUCGGGCCUGCAGUGGGUACGGGCAGACUAGAGUGCGGUAGGGGAGAGUGGAAUUCCUGGUGUAGCGGUGGAAUGCGCAGAUAUCAGGAGGAACACCAAUGGCGAAGGCAGAGCUCUGGGCCGUAACUGACGCUGAGGAGCGAAAGCAUGGGGAGCGAACAGG